rnacentral:rRNA from 1 species
CGUACACUCCUGCGGGAGGCAGCAGUGGGGAAUAUUGGACAAUGGGCGCAAGCCUGAUCCAGCCAUGCCGCGUGAGUGAUGAAGGCCCUAGGGUUGUAAAGCUCUUUCACCGGUGAAGAUAAUGACGGUAACCGGAGAAGAAGCCCCGGCUAACUUCGUGCCAGCAGCCGCGGUAAUACGAAGGGGGCUAGCGUUGUUCGGAUUUACUGGGCGUAAAGCGCACGUAGGCGGACUAUUAAGUCAGGGGUGAAAUCCCGGGGCUCAACCCCGGAACUGCCUUUGAUACUGGUAGUCUUGAGUUCGGGAGAGGUGAGUGGAAUUCCGAGUGUAGAGGUGAAAUUCGUAGAUAUUCGGAGGAACACCAGUGGCGAAGGCGGCUCACUGGCUCGAUACUGACGCUGAGGUGCGAAAGCGUGGGGAGCAAACAGGAUUAGAAACCCUAGUAGUCCCAUGAU